rnacentral:sRNA from 1 species
GUCUGCACUUGUCGGGGAAGGGUGAGAACCCUCGAUUAAGGUUCGACUCGAGCGAAAGCGAGAGAACGUUGCCAACGGCAACGGCCCGUAGGGUGAGGAG